ACCCUGCAAUGACAAUAAAGAUUCGCCAAUUUUUCAAUAUUCUUUUUCCCGGUCACCAUUUCUGCUUCCUUUUGACCUCCCUACCUUUUUCUUUCUCUCCCUACUUAGCUUACUAGAAAACGAUCUCUGCAACUGUCGUUUCUGGAUCCGCCGAUCGGGAGAAAACUAGAGAGAUAGAAUCAGAGGCUCUGAAGGCUUGAAUAAUUGUCGACAUGUCGCUCUCGGAUUCUGACUCGUCGUCCUCUUACGGUAGCGACUACAAGAAUCUCAGGCAAAUCAGCCGUGAACGUUUGUUGUAUGAAAUGCUUCGAUCAGCCAAAACAGGGAAUUCAAAAUCAACUUGGAAGGUGCUUAUCAUGGACAGACUUACUGUGAAGAUCAUGUCAUACUCAUGCAAGAUGGCUGAUAUCACACAGGAAGGAGUUUCAUUGGUAGAAGACAUAUACAGACGAAGGCAGCCAUUGCCCUCCAUGGAUGCUAUAUACUUCAUCCAACCAACAAAGGAGAAUGUUAUAAUGUUCUUGUCAGACAUGUCUGGGAAAUCGCCUUUAUACAAAAAGGCAUUUGUUUUCUUCAGUUCCCCUAUUUCAAGAGAACUGGUUUCUCAUAUCAAGAAAGAUUCAAGUGUAUUAACUCGUAUAGGUGCAUUGAGAGAGAUGAAUUUGGAGUAUUUUGCUAUAGAUAGCCAGGGUUUUAUUACUGAUAAUGAAAGGGCUUUAGAGGAACUUUUUGUGGAUGAGGAGGAUUCUCGCAAAGGUGAUGCAUGUUUGAAUGUGAUGGCUUCUCGCAUUGCUACAGUUUUUGCCUCGCUUCGGGAAUUUCCUUUUGUGCGAUAUCGUGCUGCCAAGUCCCUUGAUGUAACAACAAUGACGACUUUCCGUGAUUUAAUUCCUACAAAACUUGCUGCUAGAAUUUGGGAUUGUCUGAUCCAAUAUAAGCAAAAGACUGAACACUUCCCUCAGACAGAAACAUGUGAACUGCUUAUCCUGGAUAGAUCUAUAGAUCAGAUUGCUCCUAUCAUACAUGAGUGGACAUAUGAUGCCAUGUGUCAUGAUCUAUUGAAUAUGGAGGGAAACAAAUAUGUGCAUGAGGUUCUCAGCAAAGCUGGUGGUCCACCUGAAAAAAAGGAUGUUCUUUUGGAGGAACAUGAUCCUGUCUGGCUUGAGCUUCGGCAUGCACACAUAGCAGAUGCUGGUCAGCGGCUGCACGAGAAGAUGACCAACUUCGUAUCAAAAAAUAAAGCAGCCAAAAUUCAACAUGGUUCAAGAGAUGGUGGUGAACUUUCUACAAGGGACUUGCAACAGAUGGUUCAAGCAUUGCCUCAAUACAGUGAGCAGAUUGACAAGAUCUCCCUCCAUGUGGAGAUUGCUGAAAAAAUUAGUAGAAUUAUCAGGGAGUCGGGGCUUCGAGAGCUUGGGCAACUAGAGCAGGACCUGGUUUUUGGAGAUGCAGGAAUGACAGAUGUUAUCAAAUUUUUGACUACAAAAGAGGAUGCAACUCGUGAAAAUAAGUUGCGGUUGUUGAUGAUUCUUGCAACCAUUUAUCCUGAGAAGUUUGAGGGUGAAGAAGGUCAUAAUAUAAUGAAGGUGGUAAGAUUACCGCAGGAUGACAUGAAUGCUGUGAAUAAUAUGAGAUUGCUUGCGGGGGCAUCAGAGACCAAAAAAAGUUCAACUGGUGCUUUCUCCCUGAAGUUUGAUAUUCAUAAGAAGAAGCGCGCUGCCAGGAAAGACCGCACUGGUGCUGAAGAAACAACAUGGCAGUUGUCUCGCUUUUACCCCAUGAUAGAGGAACUUAUCGAAAAACUUAACAAAGGAGAACUCUCCAAGGAUGAAUAUCCAUGCAUGAAUGACCCAAGCCCAACUUUCCAUGGGACAUCCCAGUCUACACCAAUGCAUCAAGCUCCAGCACCCCAUUCAAUGAGAUCAAGACGGACUCCUACAUGGGCUCGACCACGGAACUCUGAAGAUGGUUAUUCAAGUGAUUCUAUUCUAAGACAUGCAUCUAGUGAUUUCAAAAAGAUGGGCCAGCGUAUUUUUGUAUUCAUCGUAGGUGGAGCUACAAGAUCUGAGCUAAGAGUUUGCCACAAGCUUACAAGCAAGUUACAGAGGGAAGUAAUUUUGGGUUCUUCGAGUCUUGAUGAUCCUCCACAAUUUAUUACGAAGCUGAAACUGCUUACAGCAAAUGAACUUUCACUGGAAGAUCUGCAGAUAUAAAUGUGUUGGGAUUAGAAGCGGAACACAAGGCUUCUCUAGGUUCUGACUAUACGAUUUAUGUGGCGUUUCAGAUGUAGCUGCACCGCACCAGUUGUGAAGGUUGUUGGGGUUCAGCGGCGACUCAUUGGUUCUGCAAUUCAUGGACACCGAGAACAGAGACAUGUUCGGUGAUGGUAAAGACGAAAGGAACCACGCAGCACUGCUUUCAAAUUUUAUGACUGGGAUGAAGAUGAAAAAAUUCUCUUCUUAAAUAGGCCAGUCCAGGGAAGCCGGAACAAGAAGAACGCCACUUACGCGGGUUAGAAGCAAUCAAGGUGCGUUUUCUUUUUGGGUUCAUAUGAGAAGAUCCAUGGAGUUAGCAUACGGCUAAUCUUUCAGUAGGAAAAGCCUCGACCAUGAUUACUCUAAAAUCCCUUUGGCAUUGUUUGAGGAUACGAGCACAUGUGCCAUAAUUAGAAAAGUUUUGUAGAGCAGUUUGCUGUGCAGCCAUUUACGUAACAUGGAACUCAGUCUCAUGCAUAA